rnacentral:rRNA from 1 species
GUUUGCGAUCAUACCAGCACUAAAGCACCGGAUCCCAUCAGAACUCCGAAGUUAAGCGUGCUUGGGCGAGAGUAGUACUAGGAUGGGUGACCUCCUGGGAAGUCCUCGUGUUGCAUUCC